rfam:Schistosoma mansoni strain Puerto Rico chromosome 7, complete genome
AUUCAUCUGACGAAUCCCAAACAGAACGAAACGUGUGUCUUGAAU